UACGGAGGGUGCGAGCGUUGUCCGGAAUCAUUGGGCGUAAAGGGCGCGUAGGUGGCCCGGUCAGUCUUUGGUGAAAGCGCGGGGCUCAACCCUGCGUCGGCCAGGGAUACUGCCGCGGCUCGAGCACUGUAGAGGCAGGCGGAAUUCCGGGUGUAGCGGUGGAAUGCGUAGAGAUCCGGAAGAACACCGGUGGCGAAGGCGGCCAACUGGACCAUUACUGACGCUGAGGCGCGAAAGCGUGGGGAGCAAACAGG
rnacentral:rRNA from 1 species